rnacentral:rRNA from 1 species
AACGAACGCUGGCGGCAUGCCUAACACAUGCAAGUCGAACGAGACCUUCGGGCCUAGUGGCGCACGGGUGCGUAACGCGUGGGAACCUGCCCUUAGGCUCGGAAUAACUCCCCGAAAGGGGUGCCAAUACCGGAUAAUGUCUCCGGACCAAAGAUUUAUCGCCUCUGGAUGGGCCCGCGUUGGAUUAGCUAGUUGGUAGGGUAAAAGCCUACCAAGGCGACGAUCCAUAGCUGGUCUGAGAGGAUGAUCAGCCACACUGGGACUGAGACACGGCCCAGACUCCUACGGGAGGCAGCAGUGGGGAAUAUUGGACAAUGGGCGGAAGCCUGAUCCAGCAAUGCCGCGUGAGUGAUGAAGGCCUUAGGGUUGUAAAGCUCUUUUACCCGGGAUGAUAAUGACGGUACCGGGAGAAUAAGCUCCGGCUAACUCCGUG